GGACACGUGGUAUCCUGUCUGAAUAUGGGGGGACCAUCCUCCAAGGCUAAAUACUCCUGACUGACCGAUAGUGAACCAGUACCGUGAGGGAAAGGCGAAAAGAACCCCGGCGAGGGGAGUGAAAAAGAACCUGAAACCGUGUACGUACAAGCAGUGGGAGCCCCACCACUAAGCCAGUGGUGAACUCCACAUACGCAUCCUUUGCUGAGGAUACGGUUAACGGAGCGAAAGCGAUGUUCAACCGCAAAAGAAGCAGAGGGGGCUUAGUGGUGGGGUGACUGCGUACCUUUUGUAUAAUGGGUCAGCGACUUAUAUUCUGUAGCAAGGUUAACCGAAUAGGGGAGCCGGAGGGAAACCGAGUCUUAAUUGGGCGUUAAGUUGCAGGGUAUAGACCCGAAACCCGGUGAUCUAGCCAUGGGCAGGUUGAAGGUUGGGUAACACUAACUGGAGGACCGAACCGACUAAUGUUGAAAAAUUAGCGGAUGACCUGUGGCUGGGGGUGAAAGGCCAAUCAAACCGGGAGAUAGCUGGUUCUCCCCGAAAGCUAUUUAGGUAGCGCCUCGUGAAUUCAUCUCCGGGGGUAGAGCACUGUUUCGGCUAGG
rnacentral:rRNA from 1 species